CUGCCUUCGACGAGGAGGGUUAAGUCGUAACAAGGUAUCUGUAGGGGAACCUGCAGAUGGAUCACCUCCUAAGAAA
rnacentral:rRNA from 1 species